rfam:Spinacia oleracea cultivar SynViroflay scaffold19498.con0004.1, whole genome shotgun sequence.
GUUCGAAAUGACGAGCAAAUUUUCCCUAUUGGGAUGAUCCGUCAGUAUGAUGGCGAUUAUUUGUAUUAGCUCUAUCUGAUCCUAA